rnacentral:rRNA from 1 species
GCAGUCGCCGCGGUAAUACGAAGGGGGCUAGCGUUGUUCGGAUUUACUGGGCGUAAAGCGCACGUAGGCGGACUUUUAAGUCAGGGGUGAAAUCCCGGGGCUCAACCCCGGAACUGCCUUUGAUACUGGGUGUCUAGAGUAUGGAAGAGGUGAGUGGAAUUCCGAGUGUAGAGGUGAAAUUCGUAGAUAUUCUGAGGAACACCAGUGGCGAAGGCGGCUCACUGGUCCAUUACUGACGCUGAGGUGCGAAAGCGUGGGGAGCAAACAGGAUUAGAUACCCCAGUAGUCCCUGUCUCUUAUAA